rnacentral:rRNA from 1 species
GACGAACGCUGGCGGCGUGCUUAACACAUGCAAGUCGAACGGAAAGGCCCUGCUUUUGUGGGGUGCUCGAGUGGCGAACGGGUGAGUAACACGUGAGUAACCUGCCCUUGCCUUUGGGAUAACUUCAGGAAACUGGGGCUAAUACCGGAUAGGAGCUCCUGCUGCAUGGUGGGGGUUGGAAAGUUUCGGCGGUUGGGGAUGGACUCGCGGCUUAUCAGCUUGUUGGUGGGGUAGUGGCUUACCAAGGCUUUGACGGGUAGCCGGCCUGAGAGGGUGACCGGCCACAUUGGGACUGAGAUACGGCCCAGACUCCUACGGGAGGCAGCAGUGGGGAAUAUUGCACAAUGGGCGGAAGCCUGAUGCAGCAACGCCGCGUGCGGGAUGACGGCCUUCGGGUUGUAAACCGCGUUCGCCUGGGACGAAGCGUGAGUGACGGUAAUGGGUAAAGAAGCACCGGCUAACUACGUG